AACCCAUGGUGAUGGCACCUUCUCAAUAAGUCUUUGUAUCUUUCCCAUGCAUCGUAAAGUGUUUCUAAAUCCAUCAACACAAAAGAAGAGAUAUCAUUAUGUAAUU
rnacentral:snoRNA from 1 species